UUAAGGGAAGCAACCUAAACCUCUCUAAUUAGUUUUUCUUUCUCUCUUUCGUGUGGAGUGGAGAGCCGAAGCGGACGAGCCGCGUAGAGGUAGCCGCGAAGCUCGGAUUCGCCGUCGACGGCGUGCCGCGGAGUCGCUCGAGCUUAUUUUCGACGUCGUGUUGCUGCGAGGAGGCCGGGCGAGUGCGGCUUUUCGCCAUCCUUGAUGUCGUGCUGGUUCUAAGGUAUUUUUUUUUUUUGAAAUGCUUUAUCAGUGGGCAUUCCUCCAAUUACUUCAAUUCCAUCAAUUUCGAGCUCGGGUGCUACUGCUGCAGAUUUCUGCGUCGACUGUCGGUGUUUUGGCUCGUACGCGACGUAGGAGCAUCGGAUUUCGACGAGACUUGGUUCGUUGGAUUCGGGACUUCGAGAGGAAUCCACGAAGCCCUCACUUGCCAGAUUUGGUGAAGGUUAGCUUGGUCGAAUCUCAUUCCUACUCUACUGCUGCAAAUUCUGGACUGAAUCGGUAAUUGGUUGGUGUAGAGCUUGGAGUUAGCGCGAUUCUUGAGAUCGAAGUACUACGAUCGACCCAGCAGGUGGAGCCACAGCUGUGAGAGUGUUUCGCUGCCGGGGAUUUGCGUGCGAG
rnacentral:lncRNA from 1 species